rnacentral:rRNA from 1 species
GACGAACGCUGGCGGCGUGCCUAAUACAUGCAAGUUGAGCGAUGAAGAUUGGUGCUUGCACCUAUUUGAAGAGCAGCGAACGGGUGAGUAACGCGUGGUGAAUCUGCCUUUGAGCGGGGGACAACAUUUGGAAACGAAUGCUAAUACCGCAUAACAACUUUAAACAUAAGUUUUAAGUUUGAAAGAUGCAAUUGCAUCACUCAAAGAUGAUCCCGCGUUGUAUUAGCUAGUUGGUGAGGUAAAGGCUCACCAAGGCGAUGAUACAUAGCCGACCUGAGAGGGUGAUCGGCCACAUUGGGACUGAGACACGGCCCAAACGACUACGGGAGGCAGCAGUAGGGAAUCUUAGGCAAUGGACGAAAGUAUGACCGAGCAACGCCGCGUGAGAGAAGAAGGGUGUCGGAUCGUAAAAAUCGGUUGGUAGAGAAGAACGUUGGUGAGAGUGGAAAGCUCAUCAAGUGACGGUAACUACCCAGAAAGGGACGGCUAACUACGUG